UACGGGGGGGGGCAAGCGUUGUUCGGAAUUACUGGGCGUAAAGGGCUCGUAGGCGGCCAACUAAGUCAGACGUGAAAUCCCCUCGGCUUUAACCGGGGAACUGCGUCUGAUACUGGAUGGCUUGAGUUUGGGAGAGGGAUGUGGAAUUCCAGGUGUAGCGGUGAAAUGCGUAGAUAUCUGGAGGAACACCGGUGGCGAAGGCGACAUCCUGGACCGGUAUUGACGCUGAGGCGCGAAAGCCAGGGGAGCAA
rnacentral:rRNA from 1 species